AGCUCUAUAGUUUGCUAUUUUAUUUUCCUCUCUUCAAAUGAGUGAAGAGAGAGAACGAAGAAAGCCUCUUAAGUAGGAAAGGAAGGAGAGUCAUCGACCAUUAGAUUAUGUGACAUCCCAAAUACUAAUUAAAGCAUAAGGGUGCUAGAUACAAGCCUCUUAAAAGUUGGACUCAUUAGAGUGCGAAACAAUAUAUGCACUCGUAACAGUUCAUGGAUCCACAGGAUCCUCAACGGCUUCAAUGGGCAGGUAAACUAAUGAUUCUUCACUAUCAUCCUCAUCUAAAAGGGGGUCAUGGAAAGAGGUGAAUUCUAAUAUACUCAACAAGAAAAAUAGUAUUUAAAUGACAUUAC
rnacentral:lncRNA from 1 species